AGAGUUUGAUCAUGGCUCAGGAUGAACGCUAGCGACAGGCUUAACACAUGCAAGUCGAGGGGCAGCAUGAUAAGUAGCAAUACUUAUUGAUGGCGACCGGCGCACGGGUGAGUAACGCGUAUGCAACUUACCUAUCAGAGGGGGAUACGCCCGGCGAAAGUCGGAUUAAUACUCCAUAAAACAGGGGUUCCGCAUGGGACUAUUUGUUAAAGAUUCAUCGCUGGAUAGAUAGGCAUGCGUUCCAUUAGGCAGUUGGCGGGGUAACGGCCACCAAACCGACGAUGGAUAGGGGUUCUGAGAGGAAGGUCCCCCACAUUGGUACUGAGACACGGACCAAACUCCUACGGGAGGCA
rnacentral:rRNA from 1 species